rnacentral:ncRNA from 1 species
ACAAUAGAGGCGCAGAGGACAGGGUAGUCUCUUCCGGGGCAGCAGGGAGCCCGAUGGGAAGCGGCGAAGGGGUCUUUUGCCGAAGGUGCGCGCGUGUCCUGCGGCGCGUUCCUGGGUGUGCAGUGUAAGCGGCACAACUGUCAUGUCCUAUGCAGACAUGGAGCGCUAUUGGU